ACAAGAGAUACAUGUUCUGAAUCCAAUUGAUAACUACAUAUAUUUUUGUUCAUUUAACGUUCAGGAUACAAUAUACAAUCAGACAGUCUCAGAACUUUAAACUUCAAAAUUACAAAACUUUAUCACAGGCCCCAGUGUGAAGAAAAUUAAAUACAUCUUGCUGAUUGUUUUUUUUUUUUUUUUUUUUUUAGAUUGUUAUUUUUCUAAACUGUUUUAAUAGCAAAAAUUGGAUAAAAUUGUCAUACGUUGUUUCCUCACUGUGAAUAAUCAAGCAGUAUAUUGCAUGAGCUUCUUGUGCUUGAAGUCCAACUGAAAUUUCCAAGCAGCUUGUUAUUCCAGCUCUGAGAGAAAGAGGUCACUGUUGAUUUACUUUAGAGUGUUAAUGCUGCGUCUUCAACGCAUUAUGUCCUUCACCACUCACAACUUACCUAAUUCUACUCAUAGUUUUAAAGAAUUUGCAUCUUUAAUGUUGUUAAAAGCAGGAAGAUGCAUCAUAUGUGCCUGUAUCCUGAAUCCAAACAUCUGUCUGAAGCCCUGCUGAACUGUUUGUGUGUGUGCGUGUUUGGGGAAGGGGUGGUUCUGCCUUUUUCAAGUGUGAUGUACAAUAUGGCCAGUGUUGUCAGAGUGUUGUUGGGAUGUUCUUUUGGGUCGCCCACCCAAGCCCACCUAACACUUAUCUGCCAUUGGAGUUAAUUAUGUAUUUCUGUGAAUGGCGGUGCGGAUGUAAUGCUGCGUCUGCAUGUCGGCACACCGCGGUGGCAGCCUGUCAUCACAGCGUUCCCCUCAAUCCCUCUUUUUUUCCCGAUCCCAACACUGUGAAUUUGACUGGAAACAGGAGCAGGAGGAUUAUGAACGGCUGUAAUUAGUUGGUUCAGGACAGGAGGAAUGAGGAGAACUCGAGAAGUGAAUGUGUGCCCCAGACUUGAAGUGCUGCCAGCACAGCAGGACACCGCACAGCCACAGACAGGAAGAACAAAUUUGAAUUGGGUGUGAACGGCCAAAUCUGAUAAGUCAAUACAAACGUUAUUUUGGUUUUCAGAAUCAGCAAAUAGAUUGACAGACUCACAGUGUUUUCUGUCUAUUAUCUGGAGCAUUCAAACACAAUCUAGGAUAAAUAGACUCUGGAUUACUUUAGAGCCUACAGUCACUUUCAAGCUCUUGUUUGUCAGUUUGUACCUCAGGACAGGGUGCACUAUUAUCCUCUAUAAAUCACAAAUGUCAUCUUGCUAGUAUCAAAGAUUUUUCAGAAGACAACCAAACAGAUCCUUGAAGAUCAGGAAAAAAAAUCUUCAUUUAAGAAUUCAGCGACUAGUGCUAACUGAGGGACAAGCAUCAUUUUUAUUUUAUAGAUGAAAUUCUCCAUAGAGCUGGUGAUCCAGCCAGAUGUCUAGUGAUGCGUGUCCCGAUUCCAGCGGUUCCACAUGGAAGUUUCUGGGAAAAGGCCCAUCGGCUCGAUUUAAUUGCUGUUGGUGACACAACAAAGAGCCCGUCUAAUGACUACAAACAUUCAUGUGCCCAAUGCCGCCGGAUUAUAAUUGAACGGGGAAAAAGAUCAAUAUCAUUCAAUGAAAACUAAUUGUGUCGGAGAGAGGAAUGUUAGUUUACACGUUACAUCUGUGUGCCACAGUGCUGGCCGGCUCCAUGUCUUCAGCUCCAUUUUUUAGUGAAACUGAGCGUGACAAAAUGGAUGCAUAAAACACACUCCUCUUCUAUUAUUUAAGAAUGGAAACAGCGUGGAACAAUGAGAACGACGGUGGGGCUGUGGAGCGUACGGAGGAAGCCAACAGAGAUAGAAAAUAGAAGUUGGAGUCUGAAAUCAUCAGCGUUUCCUUUCACUGGUUUGUUCCAGCAUGACUGCAGAAAAUAUUAUAUGUGUACUGGAACUGAUCGAUCAUUGUUUGCAUUUUCAACAUUUCCUUGGUUAUAGGGUUGAUUCCUACAUUUAUUUUUCUGGUCAUUUGGUCAUGUUUAUUGACUGUGGAAUUGGAGAGAACCUGGAUGCAAACUCAUCAGGGUUUCGAGAAAAAAAAAAAUUAAAUAUUGAUUUUAGCAUGAUGAUAUAGGGGAAAACCUAUUCAAAACUAUAUAUACAGUAGCUUUUUAAUUUCACUUGUUUCAGGCCACUUUCAAACUUUAUUAUGGAACCUAUAGUCAAUAUACAUGACUACUACUAAUAAUAUAAUAUAUUUAUUCAUUUUAUCUCAUUUCUUUGCUUUCAAAUGUUAAACCAUAAGGCUUUUAUUUUGAAAACCACAGGGAGACAAUAAAGUCGCCAUGAAACAGUUUUUUUCCCCCUAUAGGUUGUUUGCAAUCACAUGGUUCUGGUGACGCACGAAAUUGAUGUAGAGGGCAAGCAGUGAAAAUUAGAAUGGAAGAGAUGGAGAAAAGUCCAUACUAUGCUGGUUUAGAAAGGUAUAAACAGAAAAUUACAACAUAUUUUGGACGUAAACCUUAUGAAGAGGAGUGAUUUUUCUAUUGAAUUGAAAGACUUGACUGCCAUCGAGGAGGUAGAUAUAGAGAAUGUGAAGCUGCCAUCACACCAUGUUCAGUUCUAGUCUGGUUUGUUUAUAUCGCGCUGUCUUUCUGAUAGUGAAGUUAGGGCAGUAUUUUGUCAUGAUUGUGAAACAUUUUUGCCAUUGUAGGUCAUUUACGCAGAAUGGAGAAUUACAACAGGGGCUCACAUCAUCGUUCAGGGAAAAAACUGGACGGUGUAAUACAAUUUUCGCCUUUUCUACGUCUAAAAACACACUAAGGGAAGCAGGUUGAGGAGGUGACGGGGAGACGCCGUAUAGCAAAUCUAAUAAUGUAACUGAUUGAACCCACUCCCUAUCACUCAAUAAAAUAAUCACAAAGCUGAGUGUUUUGAAAGUGUUGUAUGUUGUUUGGUUUAAAAAUUAACAUUACAUUUGCGAGUAUGACUCUUACUCAGCUUGUGAAUGAGCAUAAAGCUCUGGAUACACUGCACGAUUUUAGCAAUCCUAUAAGAUCGUUACUUUAUCACACUGUGCGACAUGGAUCUACUAAACUUGGGUACGACAUGCAUGUAGACUAUACGAUGAUGACACCUAUUGACUCGUAGGCUACGAUGCAAGUUUUUAUAAAAGAAUAAAACGUCAUCAGCAUGCGCUACUGGUAAACAAAACACUAUGUUCAAUCAAACUUUGGCAGUUGUAGUUUUUAUGUGUGCUGAAAAUAAAAAGGAAGCGGCGAAAGAAGAAGGGAAAAGAGCUUGAGGUAAGCAGUUUUAAGUUUUAGCGCCAUGUCGCUUUGAUUUCAUGUCUCAUCUUUAUUGGCUGGUCAGUAGACGUAGGUCGUAGCAGCAAACACACUGUGCGUUGAUCAAGCUGAAUUUCUGACACUGUCAGAAAGCUAUCUUUGGUCGCAAGACCGGGAAAACGGCCGUCUUUGAACCUCUCUCAUUGUACGACAUAGGACCACAGAUUAAGAGCCACGAUCACAGAAAUCGCCACGAUUGUUUCACGAUGGAAAUCUUACGUCUGGGACAGCCAAAAAUUGUGCAGUGUAUCCCGGGCUUUACUUGCACGCAGCCACUUCAAAACUGUUCAUAAGCUUCUACGGGUUUGAUUUUGGUUGCUAUGUAAUCUGUCCACUGAAUGCCCCUCUGAUUCUCCUCCGUGGUGAAUAUUUACAAAGAAAACAUUAAAACUACAGUUAACACUGCUAUUGGUUGAUCUCAUGUGAGUGACAGGUUGUCCCUCCCUUGCGCCAGUAAACACCAUCAGAAGAGAUGUCGCACGAGAUUUAUAAACAAUUCUCAUUAAAGUUACAAGAGACCCAAACUUAGAGCAAAUACAGAGGUUGAGUUUGUGUGGAGCAGAAUAUUGGAAAUCAUGGAAAGAAAAGGGACACGACACAGGAUGUUCUCUAAACGUUCUGAAACAAGUAGAAACAUAAUAAAUAAAUAAAUAAAACAGACGAGCAUCCAACUAAAAUGUUUCAGAAAAAAAAAGUUUUACAAUUUACAAAUAUCAUUUUUGUGCUAAUGUUUUGAGAACAUUAUUAAAGACCAAAUAACUUUGAACGAAUGUUCUAGCAAUGUUACUAGAAGAAUGUUUGUUCAUAACUUUGAGAGAACCUUGCCAAAAUGUUAGCCAAAGUUCUGAGAAUGUUAGCUGUGUUAUGGUUAGUCCUGAACCAGGAACAUGUUCUACUUCAUAAAAUCACGUUGUACUCAACACCAGUGAAAUUAACCAAUGGUUAGACCACACCUCCAACACAUUCAUUACCAUAAACAAUAAUAAACAUUCUUACCAUAAUCAGUAUCAGUUUAUGAACUGAUUUAUUCAUUUAAAACAUGAAUUGAGAGGCAACAAUGCUGUUUUAUGUGCUGUGUGUUAAAAAUGCCCUGCACACCUUGAAUGACACAUUUGACUCAGUUUGUUUGUUUGUUUGAUUAUAUGUUCAAACGUACAGACUGCACAAGUUAAGCUCACUAAUCUGAUUUGUAAAAGCAUCUGUGGCUUUUUGAGGGACAAGCUGCCAGAGCAUCACACAAACAAUGAGAGGAACAGGGCUCUCUCUGCAAUAUUUGAUUCUGACUGGUCUGUUGCUGCAGUUUGGGGCGAAUGUUUUUUGUAUAAUGAUGCUAAAAUAAAUAAAUGACAUUCUCUCAAUAAAAUAUAAGCAGGAUCAUGCACAGCCAGUGGAUCAUUAAUCUAUAAUCUAUAAGGAAACAAAUUUGCAGAAAGAAAUUAAUUUGUCUUCAAUACUUUAAGCAUAAAUGCUCUGAAGGCACACUGCACAUGACAGAGCUGAGACCAUUCGCUAAAUUAUUUUGCCCUAAGAGAGUUAUUAAAUGAUUUGUUUGCUUCUCUCACUGUUCUGUGUGGUGAUAAUUUUCAUAUGUGAAUGUACUGUAUUCUGGCGUGAGAGGUGUGCUGUUACUUUUCUAAGUGAUAAAUGUUGCAGCUAAAAAAAAUAAAUAAAAAAUCCUAUAGACUUACAUUGAAGGAGUACAUUAUGUAGAUGUCACAGAUUCAACCAGCAUGCCAUCAGCACCAGGUCCUUCAGAUCCACCCACUUGUUCACAAUCACCAGAAUACUAACCUGCCACACCUGUCACUCCCUCAUUAGACACCAUUCAUAAGCACACAGCUCACACUCACUCAUUGUCCAGUCUCGUCAGUCUCUACAUGAGAGUGAAUCUAUCUGACUACUCACAUGUGUUUCCCUGCCUUCCUCAUCCUCCUCAAGCUACUGGUUCAUCAGACUGUAUCUCAUCUGUCUGUUCAUCUUCUAUCCUGCAAAGAAAAAGACUGGUCAGUUGAGUGUGACUGUUCAUUGAACUGCUUGUGCUUUUCACUUACCUGUUUGACAAUCCAAAAGAUCGGAACCUAUCUGUAAAUAAAAACCUGUUCAGUUCAUCUCUGUGUCUCACUUCCUGUUUUAUGACAGUAAAGACCAAGGGCCUUGUUAUAAGUGCAUACACUAAAAUCCACGCCAAUGUUCAUAUUUAUAAAAACGGUCUUUGACAUGGAAAAGUGCUUAGUGCCACGUCAGGGUCUGAGCAGACGUACACACUUUUCUUUGUGGCAGAGAGUCGGAGUUCUGCAGCUAUUUGGAAAUCUAAACAAUCCUUGCUGCUCACUAUUCUCAAGUAAAGCAUUUGGACGUUGACUGGUGCUCUGUUAUAUGUUAAUGACAUUAAUUAGGUGUUUAAUCAGUAUCAAAUUUAGGAUGGUUUCUAUGCAACGUUUUUAAAUGAGGCCCCAGAAGACCACAGAGACAUGAGGGUGCAGAGGUGUUUAAGUUAGUUCGUCACAGAAUCCUCUCAACACAGCUCAAGAUGCCGGAGUUUCUUUCAGUUCAAGCCAAGUGAAUCCCCUAGUGUUUCACAUUGAAACUAAAACACUAGAAACAUAACACUGUAUUUAUUUUUAUUAUUAUUGUGCUGAGACAACACAAUGUUGGGUUUCACUUUAUUUUGAUGGUCCCUUCAACACAUUCUGUUGUCUAUAAGUAAUGUUGCACCUACAUGUCUAAUAACUCUCAUUAGAGUGCUGGUAGUGUAUUAGUGAUCUGGUAGGGUCAGGGUUAGAAUAAGUUGACAUGUAGUUGCAAGGUUACCUGGUCAACAGAAUGUUCAAUAGGGACCAUCAAAAUAAAGUGUUACCCAAUAUUGUUGUCACAAUCACCAGUAAAACGUUCACACUGCGAGCUUUAAUGCUCAAUUCCGAUUUUGGCUCAGAUCAGAUUUUUUUAUUAUUAUUUAUUUAUUUUGUAUAGUUGUUCACAUUGUUGUUUUAAAUGUGGCCCAUAUCAGAUUUCCAGUGUGAAAAGAUCAUGGUUCUGAACUGACAAAAUCCACUUAAUUGCUUCUCAAAACUAGUCCAAAACUAGCCCAAUCGCGUUCCGUGGGGUAUCCCGGUAAAAAUCGCAUUCUGGGGGUUAAGUAUUGUGUUAGUGUUGCAAAACAACCCAUCGCAACAGAAAAGUAACUAAAUUCUGCUGUAAAAUCACAGACUUGGCAACACACACAGCACGCUGUCAUACGGAAGUAAACACGGAGGGCAUUAAAGUAAGCAAUUAUGAAUUUAUUUAUAGUGUGAUCUGCCUCUUUGCUAAGUCUUGCUUGUGUUAGAACUGCAUCUCUGAGCCUUUGUAUCAUGAUUCUCCCAUGUCUUUUUGUUUUUAGAUUCUUUGCCUGUUUUCUGAAUUUCUCUGUUUUGCCUGUUUCCUGGAUCUUAUCAUUGUUUGGAGUGUUUACCUGCGUGUUGACUUUUGCCUGUUUUUUGAUUAUGUUUGUGGAUUACCCUUACAAUAAAUACUGCGUUUGGAUCUUCA